rnacentral:rRNA from 1 species
GUGGGGAAUAUUGGACAAUGGGCGAAAGCCUGAUCCAGCCAUGCCGCGUGUGUGAAGAAGGUCUUCGGAUUGUAAAGCACUUUAAGUUGGGAGGAAGGGCAGUAAGUUAAUACCUUGCUGUUUUGACGUUACCAACAGAAUAAGCACCGGCUAACUUCGUGCCAGCAGCCGCGGUAAUACGAAGGGUGCAAGCGUUAAUCGGAAUUACUGGGCGUAAAGCGCGCGUAGGGGGUUCAGCAACUUGAAGGUGAAAUCCCCGGGCUCAACCUGGGAGCUGCCUCCAAAACUACUGAGCUAGAGUACGGUAGAGGGUAGUGGAAUUUCCUGUGUAGCGGUGAAAUGCGUAGAUAUAGGAAGGAACACCAGUGGCGAAGGCGACUACCUGGACUGAUACUGACACUGAGGUGCGAAAGCGUGGGGAGCAAACAGGAUUAGAAACCCUGGUAGUCC